GAUGAACGCUAGCGGCAGGCUUAACACAUGCAAGUCGAGGGGUAUAGUUCUUCGGAGCUAGAGACCGGCGCACGGGUGCGUAACGCGUAUGCAAUCUACCUUUUGCAGAGGGAUAGCCCAGAGAAAUUUGGAUUAAUACCUCAUAGUGUGUGAGAAUGGCAUCACUUUCACAUUAAAGUCACAACGGCAAAAGAUGAGCAUGCCUACCAUUAGCUUUUUGGUAAGGUAGCGGCUUACCAAGGGAACGAUGGGUAGGGGUCCUGAGAGGGAGAUCCCCCACACUGGUACUGAGACACGGAACAGACUCCUACGGGAGGCAGCAGUGAGGAAUAUUGGACAAUGGGCGCAAGCCUGAUCCAGCCAUGCCGCGUGCAGGAUGACGGUCCUAUGGAUUGUAAACUGCUUUUGUACAGGAAGAAACACUGGUUCGUGAACCAGCUUGACGGUACUGUAAGAAUAAGGAUCGGCUAACUCCGUGCCAGCCGCCGCCGUAAUAC
rnacentral:rRNA from 1 species